rnacentral:lncRNA from 1 species
UCUAACACUAGCAGUGCCUCAGUCCAGCCUCCCAGACUCAGAGAGAGAGAGAGAGAGAGACAGAGAGAAUGGCCACCACAGCAGCCCUCUCCAGCGCCAUGGUCAGCACAUCGUUUACUCGCCGGGUGCCAGUGACAAGCCUACGGGCACUUCCCAACGUGGGGGAGUCUCUUCUUGGCUUGAAAGCCAGUCGAGGAGGACGUGUUAAAGCAAUGGCAGCAUACACGGUGAAGCUCAUCACUCCUGAUGGUGAGAAGGAGUUUGCAUGCCCCGAUGACAUCUACAUCCUUGACCAUGCUGAGGAGGCAGAAGAGAUUGACCUCCCCUACUCAUGCAGGGCUGGCUCAUGCUCUUCAUGUCUUGGCAAGAUUGUGAAGGGGACUGUGGAUCAGUCUGAUGCUAGCUUCCUUGAUGAUGACCAGAUAGAGGAAGGCUGGGUUCUCACCUGUGUUGCUUAUCCUACGUCUGAUGUUGUCAUCGAGACACACAAAGAGGAAGAGUUUAGCGGUUAAAUAAGAUCUCUUUCUGUUUGUGUCGUCGGUGGUGUUCCGGCAGGGGGGGUGGAUUUUAUGAUUGUUAUCUCUACUGUUACUGAGCAUGUAAUUUAAUUUGUCCCAAGUUUUUCUUCCUUCAUUUGUAGUCUCAAAUGAAACUGCGUUUACUUAAUAAAUCUUAGUGUAUGGGAUUGUUUCCUCAACCGCCAUGGAUCUCUCUCUCUCUCUCUCUCUCACGCACACAGACGUGUACUUUAAUUUGCAAGUGUUUCUGUAAAAAUGGAUUUGUUUUGGAUGCUUAAUCUGAAACAUUUUUAGCUUAAAAACACAGUAUCGAACACAGCCUUAGUGGCCUUCACUUGCAACCAGGUGCCUUUUAGCUUAGUUGGGCUAAGAUCUUCUCUAUGCCACAGAUAAAAGUAAGGGAAGGCAAGAAGAGCCCUGUACCGAGAGAAUUACAGUUGCAACUACAACUAUAAAUUAAGAGAAUAAGUCUUUUCCUGCUCAUUGAGUAAUGCUUUUUUUUUUCGUUCCUUCAUGUUUUUGUGUG